ACAAUCAAUGGAAGGCUUACCUCCAUCCCAUGGAGUAUCGUCAGGACUGCAACCCAACCACAGAAGAAACAACAAACAGCUUAUCCAACCAUACUGAUGAUACGGGAAGGAAGCAAAGAUACUAGAAGAAUCCAAGAUCCGCCAAUCAACAUACCCAAAUAUCACGGCAUUCCAAAGCAUAAUGUUAUUAUCUUGAGGUGCACCACUAAUGCCUGCCGGUGGGUCCUGUUGCAACCUCUUAAAAUCCCUCAUCAGCCUCUUCCUCGCAG